UCGAGCGAACUGAUUAGAAGCUUGCUUCUAUGACGUUAGCGGCGGACGGGUGAGUAACACGUGGGCAACCUGCCUGUAAGACUGGGAUAACUUCGGGAAACCGAAGCUAAUACCGGAUAGGAUCUUCUCCUUCAUGGGAGAUGAUUGAAAGAUGGUUUCGGCUAUCACUUACAGAUGGGCCCGCGGUGCAUUAGCUAGUUGGUGAGGUAACGGCUCACCAAGGCAACGAUGCAUAGCCGACCUGAGAGGGUGAUCGGCCACACUGGGACUGAGACACGGCCCAGACUCCUACGGGAGGCAGCAGUAGGGAAUCUUCCGCAAUGGACGAAAGUCUGACGGAGCAACGCCGCGUGAGUGAUGAAGGCUUUCGGGUCGUAAAACUCUGUUGUUAGGGAAGAACAAGUACGAGAGUAACUGCUCGUACCUUGACGGUACCUAACCAGAAAGCCACGGCUAACUACGUGCCAGCAGCCGCGGUAAUACGUAGGUGGCAAGCGUUAUCCGGAAUUAUUGGGCGUAAAGCGCGCGCAGGCGGUUUCUUAAGUCUGAUGUGAAAGCCCACGGCUCAACCGUGGAGGGUCAUUGGAAACUGGGGAACUUGAGUGCAGAAGAGAAAAGCGGAAUUCCACGUGUAGCGGUGAAAUGCGUAGAGAUGUGGAGGAACACCAGUGGCGAAGGCGGCUUUUUGGUCUGUAACUGACGCUGAGGCGCGAAAGCGUGG
rnacentral:rRNA from 1 species